GGCUGCCUACGGGGCGCAGCAGUGGGGAAUAUUGCACAAUGGGGGGAACCCUGAUGCAGCGACGCCGCGUGGGUGAAGGAGUACUUCGGUACGUAAAGCUCUAUCAGCAGGGAAGAAAAUGACGGUACCUGACUAAGAAGCCCCGGCUAACUACGUGCCAGCAGCCGCGGUAAUACGUAGGGGGCAAGCGUUAUCCGGAUUUACUGGGUGUAAAGGGAGCGUAGACGGCGCUGCAAGUCCGGAGUGAAAGCCCAUGGCUUAACCAUGGUACUGCUCUGGAAACUGUGGAGCUUGAGUGCGGGAGG
rnacentral:rRNA from 1 species